rnacentral:lncRNA from 1 species
CUGAACUGCAGUACAAUCCUGAAGAAGCUGUGGCCAACCAGGCAGGGGUUCUGGAGAGAAGAUUGCCUGCAAGAGGGUUAUGAGUCAGGCUAAAACUGUGGGCUUCCCUGUCCCAACUGCCAGUCGCUGGAUGUGGAGCUGACAGCCACAGCCACAUGCUGCCUCCUGACGCUUUCCUCAUGACUCGGCAGCAAGUCCUUCCUUGAUGUGGGAUCUGGGUCGUCCAGUGUCAUGUCUUCCUCAGAGAGAGGCGUCCUAGAGUAGGGAGCAUCUAAACCAAGAUUUGAGGGACAAACCACCAG